CAUGCAAGUCGAACGGCAGCACGGGUGCUUGCACCUGGUGGCGAGUGGCGAACGGUGAGCAAUGUAUCGGAACGUAUCCAAUAAUGGGGGAUAACUAAUCGAAAGGUUGGCUAAUACCGCAUACGCCCUACGGGGGAAAGCAGGGGAUCUUCGGACCUUGCGUUAAUGGAGCGGCCGAUAUCUGAUUAGCCAGUUGGUGAGGUAAAGGCUCACCAAGGCGACGAUCAGUAGCUGGUCUGAGAGGACGACCAGCCACACUGGAACUGAGACACGGUCCAGACUCCUACGGGAGGCAGCAGUGGGGAAUUUUGGACAAUGGGGGCAACCCUGAUCCAGCCACUCCGCGUGAGUGAAGAAGGCCUUCGGGUUGUAAAGCUCUUUCGCAAGGGAAGAAACGAUACAGUCUAAUAAACUGUGUUAAUGACGGUACCUUGAUAAGAAGCACCGGCUAACUACGUGCCAGCAGCCGCGGUAAUACGUAGGGUGCGAGCGUUAAUCGGAAUUACUGGGCGUAAAGCGUGCGCAGGCGGUUUUGAAAGUCAGAUGUGAAAUCCCCGGGCUCAACCUGGGAACUGCGUUUGAAACUCCAAAGCUAGAGUAUGGGAGAGGGGGGUAGAAUUCCACGUGUAGCAGUGAAAUGCGUAGAGAUGUGGAGGAAUACCAAUGGCGAAGGCAGCCCCCUGGCUUAAUACUGACGCUCAUGCACGAAAGCGUGGGGAGCAAACAGGAUUAGAUACCCUGGUAGUCCACGCCCUAAACGAUGUCUACUAGUUGUUGGGAGAGUAAAAUCUCUUAGUAACGCAGCUAACGCGUGAAGUAGACCGCCUGGGGAGUACGGUCGCA
rnacentral:rRNA from 1 species